AUGAUUGCGAAUGGUCGCCUUCGGUGCUGGCUUGUAAGAGCAAGUGCACGUUGGUGGCUUUCAUCCAAAUACCCUUGUGAACCUUUGGCCUCUUGCUAGCUUCGGCUGGCAGAGGAUUUUUAUACACACACUCGAAUGUAAUGAAAACUAUUGUCGUGCGCAAGCACUAAUGUA
rnacentral:misc_RNA from 1 species